CCUCCUCUGGGGAGUCUUUCCUGUGAGUCUAGAUCUUCAGAUACAGGCCAUAAGGGAUGCUCUGUUUAUUACUGCAAACAUGUUGAAAACACUUCAGAAGAAAUAUUUUAAUUCCCUUAAAAAGAAUGAUCCAUGUUACUCCAGAAGAAAAGAGGAUUGAUUCAUCAGUACUCUGUAGCCUUUUGUGAUGAUCAGAAACUCCUGGUGUGAGGAAGCAAUGCCUCAAAUGGAAGUGAAAGUAAUCUGCAUGUUGCUGAGCAUGUUUAUUUGUUCCAGUAGGUCAUGUAAAGCCUGUUCUCGUUUCUACACAUUGUUUUUUAUCCUGCACAUUGUUUUUUUAUUUUGCUUUCAGUAACUGAAUUGUGCUCAACAAAAAAAACUCUGACGUUGUUCUCCCCUUCUCCUUUUUGGCGGCAAAGGUAGUUCAGUUAACAGAUCUGAACAGUGUUUUCACUGCGCCUAAUCACCCCCAUUGUUAAAAACAUCAGAUCUACUGGCCUAGUGCUCCUGUCAGGCCAGAAAAAAACAAUUCUCCCACCCUUUUUAUCGCCCAGCAUCUUCUCUGUCAUUCAUUUACUGUGCUGAAACCUGCUUGUGCUUCUCUACAUCUCUGCAAUA